GAUGAACGCUGGCGGCGUGCCUAAUACAUGCAAGUCGAGCGAACGGACGAGAAGCUUGCUUCUCUGAUGUUAGCGGCGGACGGGUGAGUAACACGUGGAUAACCUACCUAUAAGACUGGGAUAACUUCGGGAAACCGGAGCUAAUACCGGAUAAUAUUUUGAACCGCAUGGUUCAAAAGUGAAAGACGGUCUUGCUGUCACUUAUAGAUGGAUCCGCGCUGCAUUAGCUAGUUGGUAAGGUAACGGCUUACCAAGGCAACGAUGCAUAGCCGACCUGAGAGGGUGAUCGGCCACACUGGAACUGAGACACGGUCCAGACUCCUACGGGAGGCAGCAGUAGGGAAUCUUCCGCAAUGGGCGAAAGCCUGACGGAGCAACGCCGCGUGAGUGAUGAAGGUCUUCGGAUCGUAAAACUCUGUUAUUAGGGAAGAACAUAUGUGUAAGUAACUGUGCACAUCUUGACGGUACCUAAUCAGAAAGCCACGGCUAACUACGUGCCAGCAGCCGCGGUAAUACGUAGGUGGCAAGCGUUAUCCGGAAUUAUUGGGCGUAAAGCGCGCGUAGGCGGUUUUUUAAGUCUGAUGUGAAAGCCCACGGCUCAACCGUGGAGGGUCAUUGGAAACUGGAAAACUUGAGUGCAGAAGAGGAAAGUGGAAUUCCAUGUGUAGCGGUGAAAUGCGCAGAGAUAUGGAGGAACACCAGUGGCGAAGGCGACUUUCUGGUCUGUAACUGACGCUGAUGUGCGAAAGCGUGGGGAUCAAACAGGAUUAGAUACCCUGGUAGUCCACGCCGUAAACGAUGAGUGCUAAGUGUUAGGGGGUUUCCGCCCCUUAGUGCUGCAGCUAACGCAUUAAGCACUCCGCCUGGGGAGUACGACCGCAAGGUUGAAACUCAAAGGAAUUGACGGGGACCCGCACAAGCGGUGGAGCAUGUGGUUUAAUUCGAAGCAACGCGAAGAACCUUACCAAAUCUUGACAUCCUUUGACAACUCUAGAGAUAGAGCUUUCCCCUUCGGGGGACAAAGUGACAGGUGGUGCAUGGUUGUCGUCAGCUCGUGUCGUGAGAUGUUGGGUUAUGUCCCGCAACGAGCGCAACCCUUAAGCUUAGUUGCCAUCAUUAAGUUGGGCACUCUAAGUUGACUGCCGGUGACAAACCGGAGGAAGGUGGGGAUGACGUCAAAUCAUCAUGCCCCUUAUGAUUUGGGCUACACACGUGCUACAAUGGACAAUACAAAGGGCAGCGAAACCGCGAGGUCAAGCAAAUCCCAUAAAGUUGUUCUCAGUUCGGAUUGUAGUCUGCAACUCGACUACAUGAAGCUGGAAUCGCUAGUAAUCGUAGAUCAGCAUGCUACGGUGAAUACGUUCCCGGGUCU
rnacentral:rRNA from 1 species